CGAAAGACCAGUCUCACUCCCACCGUGCCACCCACUAUAGCCCCAAGUCUUGUUUCCAGGCGGAGGGCAAGUCGGGCUUGAAAACCUGCCCAAGGCUUUCCACCUCCCAGCUGCAAAAGAAAAGGGCUUUAGUUCUUUCCCCGCCUGUGAAGUCUGCAAGCUGGUUUCAUGCCCUCCCCCGAGUUCUGGCUAGGAGGCUUCUUCCCCGUUCAAAUUGUUACAAAGUUCAGCUAGAGAAGUCCUUCUCCCUGUAGGGUCUUACCUCCUGCUCCUCUGGCCGCCGUCCUGAUGGAUCCCUGUGGUGCCAGGCAGGAAUGGGCUGCUUGGGGAUCCAGUGAGCUCCCAGUGCCUUUCUGCUACUUCCUCUACCCCUGUAUUUCGCUCAGCUCGAGUCUCUAACUUGGCUCAGCUCCAGACACACGUGACAUUUGGUGCCGAAGACCCAGGACAGGAGGACUCCUUCAGGAGACCGGUCCCCUGUGCUUGCCCUCACUUCCGUGAGGAGAUCUGCCUACAACCUUGGGUCCUCAGACCAACCAGCCCAAGGAACAUCUCACCAAUUUCAAAUCGGGUAGGCAGUCUUUUCACUCUCUUUUCCAGCCUCUCUUGCUACCCUUCAAUCUCCCUGUCCUUCCAAUUCCAGUUAUUUUUCCUCUCUAGUAGAGACAAAGAAGACACAUUUUAUCCGUGGACCCAAAACUCCGGCGCCAGUCACAGACUCGGGAAGAUAGUCUUCCCUUGGUGUUUAAUCGCUGCGGGGACGCCUGCCUGAUUAUUCACCCACACUCCAUUGGUGUCUGAUCACCGUGGGGAUGCCUGCCUUGGUCAUUCACCCACAUUCCCUUGGUGGCAAGUCAAUUGCGGGGAUGCCUGCUUUGGCUGCUCACCCACAUUGCAGCCCAGGGCUGCUCACUACCCCCACCCCUUCUCCGUGUCUCUACCCUCUCUUUUCUCUGGGCUUGCCUCCUUCACUAUGGGCAACCUUCCACCCUCCAUUCCCCCUUCUGCUCCCUUAGCCUGUCUUCUCAAAAACUUAAAACCUCUUCACCUCUCACCUGACCUAAAACCUAAGCAUCUUAUUUUCUUGUGUAACACCGCUUGGCCCCAAUACAAACUUGAUAAUGGUUCUAAAUAGCCAGAAAACAGCACUUUUGAUUUCUCCAUUUUACAAGACCCGGAUGAUUUUUGUUGAAAAAUGGGCAAAUGGGUCUGAGGUGCCUGACUUCCAGGCAUUCUUCUACACAUUGGUCCCUCCCUAGUCUCUGCUCCCAAUGUGACUCAUCCCAAAUCUGUCUUCUUUCUCUCCUGUCUGUUCCUUCAGUCUCCACCCCAAGCUCUGAGUCCUUGAAUCCUCCUUUUCUACAGACCCAUCUGACCUCUCCCCUCCUCCCCAAGGCUGCUCCUCACCAGGCCAAGCCAGGUCCCAAUUCUUCUUCAGCCUCCACUAUCCCACCCUAUAAUCCUUUUAUCACCUCGCCUCCUCACACCUGGUCUGGCUUACAGUUUCAUUCCACGACUAGCCCUUCCCGACCUGCCCAACAAUUUCCUCUUAAAGAGGUGGCUGGAGCUAAAGGCACAGUCAAGGUUAAUGCUCCUUUUUCUUUAUCCGACCUCUCCCAAAUCAGUUAGUGUUUAGGCUCUUUUUCAUCAAAUAUAAAACUCAACCCAGUUCAUGGCCCAUUUGGCAACAACCCUUAGAUGCUUUACCACCCUAGACCCAGAAGGGCCAGAAGGCCGUCUUAUUCUCAGUAUGCAUUUUAUUACCCAAUCCACUCCCGACAUUAAAUAAAGCUCCAAAAAUUAGAUUCCGGCCCUCAAACCCCAUAACAGGACUUAACUAACCUCACCUUCAAGAUGUACAAUAAUAGAGUAGAGGCAGCCAAGUAGCAACAUAUUUCUGAGUUGCAAUUCCUUGCCUCCACCGUGAGAGAAACCCCAGCCACAUCUCCAGCACACAAGAACUUCAAAAUGCCUAAGCCACAGUGGUCAAGCAUUCCUUCAGGACCUCCUCCCCCAGGAUCUUACUUCAGUGCUGGAAAUCUGGCCACUGGGCCAAGGAAUGCCCACAGCCUGGGAUACCUCCUAAGCCGUGUCCCAUCUAUGCGGGACCCCACUGGAAAUCAGACUGUCCAACUCGCCCAGCAGCCACUCCCAGAGCCCCUGGAACUCUGGCCCAAGGCUCUCUGACUGACUCCUUCCCAGAUCUUCUUGGCUUAGCGGCUGAAGACUGACGCUGCACCAUCACCUCAGAAGCCUCCUGGACCAUCACAGAUGCUUUUGGCAACUCUUACAGUGGAAGUUAACCAGCCACUCUUUGAUCUUAACCACAUCUGAUAAAGAGAUUUUUCUGACUUCACAGGAUAGCUGUAAAAUAACACAGAAUGCACGUGGAAGUACUUAAUAAACUCUAAUGUGAAAUACAAAUGUAAGCUAUUUUUAUUACAAAUGUAAUAAAUAUCUGCCACCAGAUUUUAGUCCUUUUGAUAAUUAUAGAUCAAAUACAGACCAGGAGAAAAAGUAGAUAUUUAAGAAACGCAUUAUUUACUGAGCUCUUCAUUGAAAUAUUACUGACAUAGCUAAACUUUUAUUCCCAAUAUGGAAAAGGGGGUACCCAAAAGAACAGAAACACCCUGAGUGUGAGACCUGGUAGGGAUCCAUAAAAAAGCAGCGCAAAAGAUGACGAUGUCAGCA
rnacentral:lncRNA from 1 species